GACGAACGCUGGCGGCGUGCCUAAUACAUGCAAGUCGAACGAGAGCGACCGGUGCUUGCACUGGUCAAUCUAGUGGCGAACGGGUGAGUAACACGUGGGUAACCUGCCCAUCAGAGGGGGAUAACAUCCGGAAACGGAUGCUAAAACCGCACAGGUCUUCGAGCCGCAUGGCUUGAAGAGGAAAAGAGGCGCAAGCUUCUGCUGAUGGAUGGACCCGCGGUGCAUUAGCUAGUUGGUGAGGUAACGGCUCACCAAGGCCGUGAUGCAUAGCCGACCUGAGAGGGUGAUCGGCCACAUUGGGACUGAGACACGGCCCAAACUCCUACGGGAGGCAGCAGUAGGGAAUCUUCCGCAAUGGACGCAAGUCUGACGGAGCAACGCCGCGUGAGUGAAGAAGGUUUUCGGAUCGUAAAACUCUGUUGUUAGAGAAGAACAAGUGCUAGAGUAACUGUUAGCGCCUUGACGGUAUCUAACCAGAAAGCCACGGCUAACUACGUG
rnacentral:rRNA from 1 species